GGCACGUAGAAUUAGACUUUGUCUUAUGACAAUUUCUUCACGAACUUAUCGAUUCUUCAUCAAUGAAGGUCUGGGCGACAGAAAGUGAAGCCGAAGAAGUAGCGAAUCCACGCCAGCUUUAAGAACGUUUAAGGUUGAGCAGGCGAUGGAAUGGUUUGGUGUUGAGCGGGAAUUCUUUUGAUGGAUAUGUAAUGAAACCUUGAGUAUGCAUCUCCAUAUGCAUAACUCACACGUUUUUCCGCUGCAAACACUCUGAAUUUGUUAUCGUAUUGUGGAACUUAUUACUCCUUCUUUUUGUUUAACUUUCACUUGGGUCUAGUCGUUAUGGCAUAAUCGUUUG